rnacentral:rRNA from 1 species
GACCUGACUGCUAUCGGAUUGAUACUAAGCCAUGCGAGUCUUUGUAGUAAUACAAGGCAGACGGCUCAGUAACGCGUAGUCAACCUACCCUAUGGACGGGAAUAAUCUCGGGAAACUGAGCAUAAUACCCGGCGUACCAUCAUUCCUGGAAUGGUUGGUGGUUAAAAUGAUUCGUCGCCGUAGGAUGGGACUGCGACCUAUCAGCUUGUUGGUGAGGUAAAGGCCCACCAAGGCGAUUACAGGUACGGGCUCUGAGAGGAGAAGCCCGGAGAUGGGUACUGAGACACGGACCCAGGCCCUAUGGGGCGCAGCAGGCGAGAAAACUUUGCAAUGUGCGAAAGCACGACAAGGUUAAUCCGAGUGAUUCCUGCUAAAGGAAUCUUUUGCCAGUUCUAAAAAUACUAGUGAAUAAGGGGUGGGCAAGUUCUGGUGUCAGCCGCCGCGGUAAAACCAGCACCUCAAGUGGUCAGGAGGAUUAUUGGGCCUAAAGCAUCCGUAGCCUGCUCUGUAAGUUUUCGGUUAAAUCUAUAUGCUCAACGUAUAGGCUGCCGAAAAUACUGCAGUGCUAGGAAGUGGGAGAGGUAGACGGUACUUGAUAGGAAGGGGGUAAAAUCCUUUGAUCUAUCGAUGACCACCUGUGGCGAAGGCGGUCUACCAGAACACGUUCGACGGUGAGGGAUGGAAGCUGGGGGAGCAAACCGGAUUAGAUACCCGGGUAGUCCCAGCUGUAAACGAUGCAGACUCGAUGAUGCAUUGGCAUAUAGCCAGUGCAGUGUCGCAGGGAAGCCGUUAAGUCUGCCGCCUGGGAAGUACGUACGCAAGUAUGAAACUUAAAGGAAUUGGCGGGGGAGCACCACAAGGGGUGAAGCCUGCGGUUCAAUUGGAGUCAACGC